UACGGAGGAUGCGAGCGUUAUCCGGAUUUAUUGGGUUUAAAGGGUGCGCAGGCGGCACGGCAAGCCGGCGGUCAAAUCGCGGGGCUCAACCCCGCCCAGCCGUCGGAACUGCCGGGCUAGAGUGGGCGAGAAGUGCGCGGAAUGCGUGGUGUAGCGGCGAAAUGCAUAGAUAUCACGCAGAACUCCGAUUGCGAAGGCAGCGCACCGGCGCCCUACUGACGCUCAGGCACGAAAGCGUGGGUAUCGAACAGG
rnacentral:rRNA from 1 species